UGAUAGUCUAAUUUAGCCUUAGUUUAGGGAGUUUUAAGUAGUUUUUCCGCUUAGGAAUUGAGUUAGUUAAUGAGCUGUAGUUAGGAGAUGAGAUUUAGUGUAUAUAGGAUAGAAAAAAUCACUCAGCAGGGAGAGAUCACACUUCCACUGGUCAGAAAUCACUCUCCAUAUUCUCUCAUUUUCGCUCAUCUUCUCUCACGGUUUUUCUUCACUUUUAACUUGGAGAUCAAGAGCUUUGGUGAGAGGACGGCUCAAGAACUUCAACCUUUGUGUUGUACUUGUGUAUGGAAUCAAUUUUACUGAUCCAAUCAUUGUAGAUAACAAAUGAAAACCAAUAAUCUGGACUUCCUUGCCACAUUGAGGACAAUAUGCACUUUAACUGUGGGGGGAGGUCAAGAAAUUUUAAAUUUUUUUUCCAGUUUUCUUAACUAACUUCACUAAUAUUUUCUCUUUGUUUAGUUGUUCUGAUUUUUCUGUAUUGCAGGUAGCUGUAGUUGCUCUUUUUGAUCGCAUUAGUUUGAAGUUGUUCUACAUUCUGGUUCUUAAUUCUGUUCUAUUUUAAAUUCUGUUUGAGGUAGAUUUAGUUAGUUUAAUUGUGUUAUGGCGUUUCUUUUUAGAACAUAGGUACUUCAGUUUAAUUGUAGUUUUAUCUUGCUGAUUUCCGUUUGUAUAGCUAGCUUGAAUUUAGUUUACUAGUUAGAAUUUUUUCUUCAUUUUAACUUAUGUGUUGUUGCAGUAUUAUAGGUAGUAGCAUAGUCAACUGUGAAUUUUUUGUUUUUCUAAAAUAAAUAGUUGGUAUAAUAGUUAGCCUUGAUGAUUUGACAUUUUAUCACAUAGGUAUUCUUACUGUUUUAAUAAAAAAAGUAUUAGAAGUGAAGUUUAAGCCUAACUCAACCCCACAAAACCGGUUUAUAAGGUGAGGUUUGAACUUCACUUAUAUAUUGUGAAUUAGCUUUACCUCUAGUCGAUGUGGGACUUCCAACACACCCCCUCACGCCGAGGUAUAUUCAUCUCGUGCGUAGGACAAGAAAUUAUAGGAUGGUCCGUUAGCAGCUCGAUAUCAGGUGAAACAGAAUGUCCAAGAAAGUUCGCUAGGAUAGGCUCUAACUUGGCACACAUAAGAUAAUCUAUUUAUAACAGAGAGAUUACAAUUAAAAAGAGUAACUGAAAAUAAAUAGAGUAAAUAGAAGAUAUUGUUUGAUAUUUUGAUUAACAAUAUCUAACAAUAUCUUAAUAAUAUCAAACAAUAUCUAAACAAUAUCUAACAAGUAUAAAAUUUUGACACGUUUUCUGUUUUACCAAUUAGUUUAGUUUUUCUUUAGGUUUUCAUAGUUAAUUCUUGAUCCUUCUGCUGUUUUCAGUAGCUAUCAUAUUUUUUAAUAGCCUUUUGUUUUUUUUAGAACUUGCUUAGAUAGAGAAUUUUAGGUAUAGAUAGCUUAAACAUUCAAUUUGAGUCAUUAUAGUAUAGGAUAGGACCAGUUUACUGUUUUAGUGCAUUUUAUGGCUGUGCAUAUUAGUUUUCAUAGUUCUUCAUGCUUUGGACUUUUAGCUUAGUUUUUAACCUUCAAUUAUCAUUUAGAAUGUGUCUAGGUAGUUGCAUAACAUUUCCAUUUGGUAGUUGGAUACAGUUUUAAAAUUUUAGUCUGUUCUAGCAUUGUUUAGUUUGUGAUAUAGAUUCUAGAUAGUCAAUUUUUGAGUUUCUUUUUACCAUUUUAAGCUUGUCUAGAGAGUUUCCAUACACUUUUCUAUACUGUUUUAGUGCAAUUUAAUUUUUUUAGCUUUUUAGAGUCCUUUUAGAGAAUUGUCUUGGUUCUAGAUAGUGAAAUUUUGUUUUAAAGUUUAGUUUUGGGAAGCAAGUACAUUUUUAGAGUGUUUGUUACAUCUUUGCAUAAUGAUGAGUGGUGAUUAAUUCAAGUUUAGAUUGCCAAGUGUCAUUAGAUUCUAGAUUUGAGUGGAUGAUCUUUAGUAAGUUUUUACAUAUUAAUUCAAUUAAAUCGAGUAGUUUUUGCAUGAUAGAGAUGUAGCAUUUGAGUCUUAACAACAUUAACUUUUGAGAGCUUUUGAGCCUUAUUUCUUCAUGUUGUGUGAUUGCAUGUACGUAGAGUUAUAUUUCGGGAUUUGCAUUGAUUCUCUUUGGUUUGCUUGACCUUGGAUGCACUCUAAACAUGAUCUAAAAUAGUAACUUGACCUUUCUUGAUGAAUCACCUCUGUUACAAGCCAUGAGACCUGAAAAAAAAAAAACCAUGAUUUGCCUAGCUUGUGGGCAUAAGAAGGUCAAUGUUCAGUGUGAAUUCCAAGUGUGGGGGUGGGAAAUCUGGUUCGAAAAAAUAGAGGAAAACAGAUUGGAUAAGUGCUGAAACAAGUGAUGGAAUAAGUGAUGAAACAAGUCUGAAUUGGCUGAAAAAGAAAAUAAGAAAAGAGAGGGGGUCUGAAUCAAAAUAAAAGAGAAGGAAGAAAGAAAAGGUGUUGAUACAAAGCUGAAAUAAAAGAAUGUGAUGACAGAAUUAUGGUUCUGACCUGCACUCAAAACUCCAUGCUGUCAGAUUGCUUUUUUCUCAUGCUCACAAGCUCAUAGCCUUGAAUCCUCUUCUGAAUCCUACCCAUAAACUUGACCACGUUACCAGCCAAAAUAAAGACCUAUCGAUUUGGAGUGUGCCUUGGAUCGAGUGAUGCUGAUUAGAAGCUUUUCAAAUUCAUGAGAUUGGGCUUUUACAUGUAGUGCCGAGUGAUAAAUACAAGUCUAUACACUUUGAGAUGUGAGAGCAAACACCUUCUUUGUGAGGUUAAAUCUGAUCUGCUAUUCUCUUGAUUGUUCAAUACUUGAUUUGGGUUGGAUUAACAUGUUUCUGGCUUGCUGGAUUUCAUGAAGCUUGAAUUUGGAGAGUUAAUGGUCAUUUGGCAGAAUUGAGCUAGGAUUGAUGCAGCUGGAUUAUGCAGAUUGAAAAUAAUAAACCAAGGCAACUAAAUGGAGUCGUUUUAGAGCUAAUCAAUAGCAAAGGCAAAGGAAAACAACAACUUUGAAGCUGCUGUGACAGCUUAUUAGCCAAGAAUCCUGUAAAGUUGACUUUGGGUUGACUUUUUGCAUUUCAUCUCCUAUCUUUGUGCCAACUUUGGGGAACUUCAAGGAACAUUCAAAUACACUUGCUGGAGCUGAGGAACACUGGAUAGAGGCUGAAAGAUUGACCAGAUCAUGCAUUCCGUGAUUUACUUGCUUAGUUAACUUGUUUAGUUUGUUUAAUUAGAUAUGAUGUUUGGUUUAGUUAUUAGUCUUAGUUAGAUUUAACUUUGGUUGUUUAAUAUUAGUUUUAUGAAUUUAAAAAUAAAAAGUCCAGCAAAAGAAAAACGUUUGUAAACCAUAAUGUUUAACUCAUAUUUGUUCAUCUUCAUUGAAAAAUACUUCUUCUAA